rnacentral:rRNA from 1 species
UACGUAGGGCGCAAGCGUUGUCCGGAAUUAUUGGGCGUAAGAGCUCGUAGGCGGUUUGUCGCGUCUGCUGUGAAAACCUAAGGCUCAACCUUGGGCUUGCAGUGGGUACGGGCAGACUAGAGUGCGGUAGGGGUGACUGGAAUUCCUGGUGUAGCGGUGGAAUGCGCAGAUAUCAGGAGGAACACCGAUGGCGAAGGCAGGUCACUGGGCCGCAACUGAC